rnacentral:rRNA from 1 species
GAUGAACGCUGGCGGCGUGCCUAAUACAUGCAAGUCGAACGAAACUUCUUUAUCACCGAGUGCUUGCACUCACCGAUAAAGAGUUGAGUGGCGAACGGGUGAGUAACACGUGGGCAACCUGCCCAAAAGAGGGGGAUAACACUUGGAAACAGGUGCUAAUACCGCAUAACCAUAGUUACCGCAUGGUAACUAUGUAAAAGGUGGCUAUACUACCGCUUUUGGAUGGGCCCGCGGCGCAUUAGCUAGUUGGUAGGGUAAAGGCUUACCAAGGCAAUGAUGCGUAGCCGAAUUGAGAGGUUGAUCGGCCACAUUGGGACUGAGACACGGCCCAAACUCCUACGGGAGGCAGCAGUAGGGAAUCUUCCACAAUGGGCGAAAGCCUGAUGGAGCAACGCCGCGUGGGUGAAGAAGGUCUUCGGAUCGUAAAACCCUGUUGUUAGAGAAGAAAGUGCGUGAGAGUAACUGUUCACGUUUCGACGGUAUCUAACCAGUAAGCCACGGCUAACUACGUG